rnacentral:rRNA from 1 species
UACGGAGGGUGCAAGCGUUGUCCGGAUUUAUUGGGUUUAAAGGGUGCGUAGGCGGCCCGUUAAGUCAGUGGUGAAAGCCUCCAGCUCAACUGGAGAACUGCCAUUGAUACUGACGGGCUUGAGUACAGACGAGGUUGGCGGAAUUGAUUGUGUAGCGGUGAAAUGCAUAGAUACAAUCAAGAACUCCGAUUGCGUAGGCAGCUAACUAGGCUGUAACUGACGCUAAGGCACGAAAGCGUGGGGAGCGAACAGG